rnacentral:rRNA from 1 species
GACGAACGCUGGCGGCGUGCUUAACACAUGCAAGUCGAACGGAAAGGCCCUGCUUUUGUGGGGUGCUCGAGUGGCGAACGGGUGAGUAACACGUGAGUAACCUGCCCUUGACUUUGUGAUAACUUCAGGAAACUGGGGCUAAUACCGGAUAGGAGCUCCUGCUGCAUGUGGGGGGUUGGAAAGUUUCGGCGGUUGGGGAUGGACUCGCGGCUUAUCAGCUUGUUGGUGGGGUAGGGGCUUACCAAGGCUUUGACGGGUAGCCGGCCUGAGAGGGUGACCGGCCACAUUGGGACUGAGAUACGGCCCAGACUCCUACGGGAGGCAGCAGUGGGGAAUAUUGCACAAUGGGCGGAAGUCUGAUGCAGCAACGCCGCGUGCGGGAUGACGGCCUUCGGGUUGUAAACCGCUUUCGCCUGUGACGAAGCGUGAGUGACGGUAAUGGGUAAAGAAGCACCGGCUAACUACGUG